UUUUUUUUUCAGUACUCUCAGCGCACGUUAGCCUCAACGUACACACAACAUGGGUAUAAGGCCCAAAGCUAAAAUGUUGGCGGGGAUCUAUAAUAAGAAAUUGUCGGGACGUCAACUCAAGCUAAUGCCCUAGGGGGAAGCUAGGUCAAGCUUUAGCGGCAACUGAAAUCAAAGGAACAAUAGCGAGAGUAGGGAAACAUCCUGCAGAAAUAGGGUUUCAGAUGACACAGCUUUGCAAUCAAUUGUGUGAGGUUCAGAAGGUCAUUUGCUAGAGAUAGUGGUGGUGUUAGAUAUCCUACCGCAAAAGGCACGCCAGUGAAAUCCAGAUUGGUUUUGGGCAAAGAGAAGGAAAAAGAGUGAAAGAAGGUUAUUCAAUCUCCGAAAAUUACAAAUAGUCUAUCAUUGGCAGAUGAAGUAAAGUAGUGAAUGAAACAACUGUGCCUACAGGUAAAGAUAUUUGGGUGCACAAAGACAAGAGGUUUGUCAUCAUCAAAACGGGAAAUUUGUUGGAACCUUGAAGUUUGAUGAAUGACAAUAUGAAUGAAAUAAGUUGAUAUGAGUUAAUUCAAUGCAACUGGAAACUUCAAUUUACUGAUCACAUGGGGAAUAGAACAAGUUAAAUUUGAUUCAAACACUUGAUGAUAAGGGAAACAAGUUGAGUUGAAAAAGGAGUUUUAUGUAAAGAAGGAGUUUCACUUCUGAGUAUAUCUUGAAGAGUCCUAUGUGUGGGAGGAGAAAGAUUCUGAUAAAUUAAUAUGUGCUGAUUUAAAGAAUUGGAAUUUGACUAGAACACCAAGGAGACAAGAAUUAGAAUUGAAGAAGGAGUCUCACUUGAAGUAAAACUCUAUGCAAUGAGAGUUUUGAUUAGAGGAGUUUGAAAUAGAGAAUGGCUCUUUAGAGAGCUGUGCUUAAAUAGAAGAUGCAGCAGUCAGAAUAAUUCACGCACUUAAAAAACAGAAAAGCACAAUCGACAGGCUGACUUUACGAAGUGCUACUCAAUCACUGAAGAAACACGUUGAAGAACCUGGUCCUCAGUAUAGAAUCCAGCUAAGAGUUUUAGCGUUGAUUUUUAGAGUUGUUCAUUGUGUUUGAACUAUUGAUGUAAUAUUAGUUUCAGUGUGUUAGAAACUGAACUAGAAGCUAGUCUUCAAAUUGGGAACACUCAGAGACUUUGGGAACGCAUACCUUGGGAGGUGUGUGUAGUUAGGAAUUAGAGUUUGUAAUUCCUAGUUGUUGAGUUAUAGAGAUUAGAGUUUACAA